AGCAGGGCUUACGUCACGCAAGCGCCGCGGGUGUGGACGUCAUCUGAGAGCGCCACGCGCGGUCCCGAAACCCUGAGCACCGUCUGGCUAAGGCGUUGCUGUAGAGACCGUGCGCCGAGUCCCGCCCCCGAGGCGGGAUUGGAGGAGAACUGGUCAGCUGACAAGGGUGGAGUUUCGAAAGCGCGCUGUAGGCAGUGCUGGGACUCAGAGCCCGAAAACUGAUUUGAGGGGCGUCUUGACCGAAGGUGACCAGCUCCUGGAGACGCAAUGGAGAACCUGAAUAUCCCCUCGCUCCCCUGGAGUCUGUAUGCUGAGGAAGGGGCUAUAGACAAUAGCCAUGCACUCACCCAAAUAAGACAUUCUUCAUGAAUUGUGACUGUGAAACUGCAUUGCAAACAGUGGUCUCAGCUACUAAGGAGUAACAAAUAGCUCUUUCAUCUCCUGGAAGAACUGUGUGCAAAGGAAGGAGUGAGGAGAGAAGGGACACCCGGAGCCUGAAGAACCUGUGACUUGGAUGCACAGCCUCUAAGUAAUCCCAAGUGAACCGUGUGAACCUGCAGUCAGUGUCUAUGGCCACGAGGCAGAACACACAAACACCAGGCCUCAAGAUUCUCACCAAGAUCGUGUCAUGAGACAGGACCUCGCCGCCCAGCCCCCGCCUCCCAAUAACAGGAUUACGAGGCUCAGUGCGGUUACUGCUGGCACAGCGAGCCACAGAUGUAGCCAGGACUGGGUGCCAAUCGACAGAUUCCCAAUAUUGUCUUCCAGUUGCUAGACUACGCUGCUUUCCAGUACAUUAUUUGGAAUAUAAAAACUAAAAUGUAAGUAAAGCAUUUUCAUACAAAUAAUUUCAACCGCAACAAGGCAAUUGGCUUCUGAUUAAGUUGGCAAGAAGAGGUAAUGCUCUCAUUCCGAUUGACAUAUUUGGAGAUUCUCUUGCCAAAUACAAUUGGCAGCUUCAUAAUUAUGGAAACGUCCAUGUUAUUUCCACUCAACCAGGGUUAGGGCUGCUGGUAUCUGAUUCAAUGUUUACUUCAUGAAUGAGGUCAGUUCCCAGCACAGCUGGGGUUUCGGCAAAGGAGUCAGCAGACAGCAUUCCCACUAGAAUCUGACCGGCGUUUGUCACAACUUCCAGGGCAACCUUCCCUCAGCUCCCCCAGGUCAGCUGCUCUCCCUAGCAUUGUCUGGGGCCCGGCUCCUCUCCCUGUAGAAGCAGACCCAGCCUUGACAUGAUGAGGUCACAUCCAAGCUUCCCCUGGCACAGCGGUUCAUUCUGCAACCUGCCCCCUUGGUAUUGCAACACCUCGCUCCUGGACAACCCCCGCACACCAUGAGCUUCAUGCUGCCAGGAAACGGUAGGGUUUUAAGAAAUAUUUAUCCCAGGAUGGUUCCACGUGUGUGGUGUGAGAGUGACUCAGAGUGCCAUGGAAGCCACCUCCAAAGGUAAUGAUGUCCCACAGGUCAGAGUGUCCUUUCAGCCAGCUCCCCACACUGAUGAAAACAAAAACAAGUCCCAAGUGCUCAGAACACUCCGGAAGAACACACAUUCAUGGAGUGGCCAUCUGUGAGUUCACAGAGUUCCUGGGGAGACUCAGGGCAGAAGGGAAGGGCGGCACCGCACAACAAUGCCAGGGGUCCAGCUCCCACUGGCUCGAAGCGGCAAAGGGCUGGAGUGUCACUGACCUGUUUGUCCAAGUCCUGAGCUAUUGCCAUAGGAUAGCGGCAGCAAGAAAGUCCACGGUCCAAGUCUGAAGCAGCUGUCUCUGCCCUGGCAGCAGUUUCCCUACCUGAGCGAGGUAAGCUAGGAGGAGGCUAAGCAAUAGUGAUUUGGUUUGGAUCUCAAAAUAAUCGUGGCCAUCGUAUGAUGUGAUUAUUUUUGCCUAAGAAAAUCUGAAAAGUGCCAUGGAGAAAAAGAAUCUAGAGUGGGAGAUGGUUUAGGCAUUGGAGGCAAAGGCAGAUUCAAGAAGAAACUUCCUCCGCCCCAGUGUUGACAACCAGACUGACGGCCACACCCCAUGCUUUCCCAACAGGAGAACAAUGUGACCGAAGGCAAUUGAUGUGAACACAAGAAUCAACAACACAGAGGAGACACAGUCCUAGGUGUAAAGAGGGGAGCUGUCUCUCCCUGUGGCCUCAACAGAAGGACAGGGUUGUCAACCUAGGAUGCAGACUCACUGUCUCAUCCUAAGGGUCGGUCCAGCUGCCAUAGGAGAUUUCGGAACAACUGUCCUCACUUGAGGGUCAACAUGCUGUACAGUCCGUGGGGCCCACUGGACAGUCGCAGUCCCAGAUCACUUCUCCUACCGGCUUUCUCAGGAGCUCACACUACCCGUCGCAGCCCCAAGAUGUUCCUUCUGUCUGCUCCUGUUCCUGACUCAAACACGAGUUGUUUGCCAUCAGU